ACAAGAGGUGGCCUCCACGUGGCAAGAGCUGGGCAACAUAUUCAUUAUGUUGGCAAACUACCUCAUGUUUAUGUAAUGGUUAAUUUUCGGUGGUUUAAAAUAAUAAGAUCAAAUAUGUUUGUUUCGUAUGUAAAUAAAUUUCUCGCUUUUUUUUCCUACAAACAGUUCUGCACAUAAGGUAUUAUUCUUAAAAUAAUCUAGAUAUUUAUGUUUAGAUCGUGAACAUGCUUUAACACUGGUGGCCGAGUUUUUACAUACACGACCAGUAACUUUCAAACUGUGAAAUAAACAAACGUUUUCCUUCUUUAAUCAUGUUUACCAAAAAAUACUGGUGGUGACAUCAAAGGAUGUUUAUUUGUGGUAAAAAUAACAUUAUUAUGUAAUUAGGUAAUUAUAAAAUUAUCAUGGUCAUUGUCAAAUAAGAAAUCAAUGAGAGGAUGAAGAGAAAAUUUUCGCGGGUUAUCGAGUAAUUAUGGUAAGUGUUGUUGCUCAAAUGUUAAAGUAUGUAUAUAGGCAGAUGAUUUCUUUUACUGUAUCAUACAAUCAUGGCUGAACAUCCAUGUAUUUACUGCAAUAUUGAGGUCACUUCUCGUGCGCACGCUAUUGCAUGUGAUUCAUGUGGAAGAUGGAGUCACCGUAGACACACCGAAAUUACCCAUCAGCAGUACAUGCAACUGCGCAGUGGUGAGGUACAGAUAGAGUGGUUCUGUAAUGGUUGCAGGAACGUCGACGAACCACCACCACCACUUGAAAUCCCGGUAUCGCCACUCAGAAAUCUUGCACAAGAAGAUCUAAGACAUGGGGGUCUGAUAAAAAAAUGACAUAAUCUUGUUUUUAAGUACAAACAUGUUUUUAUUAUAAUUACAGGAUGGCAUAGACGCAUCAACGCACGAGCGUGUUCAGCCAACCUCGGGCUUUACAAGUUGGCCAACCUUCUCAGAGAGGAAUCUGAGACUGUUGAUCUUCAUAUACGGCUGGUGAGCCAGCACCUUCUCACGAAGAUCAGGCGGAAGAAGUAUGUUACGAUACACGGCAGACUGCAUCAAGCAUGGGAUGACUACGAAGAAGAGAAGCUGACAACAACUGAACUUCUGAGGAUCAUCAGCCACAUCAAUGCCCUCGGACCAUCCACAGCGGUCCACCACAUGCUCGACGACGACGAGGCUUGAAAGAUGAACGACUGAUAUGGUUGAAAUGUAACAUUAAAUUGAACAGUGUCGUACAUGUAUCUAAUUUGUAUUAGAAAAUCUGAAUGAUAAAAAUGUGUGAUAAAAAUGUAAAAAUAUUGUAGUGCGUCAAAAAUGUAUCUAAUUAAUAUGUGCUUACUCCCUCAUUUUUUUUAAAUGACAUGAAAUAUUCAAAUAUAUAUAUAUAGUAUCCAAGGUUUAGUUGUUGCUUAUUUAUAUUAUAUGGUAAAUAAAACGGAUUACAAAGUA